rnacentral:rRNA from 1 species
UGGUUGCGGGGUCCUAAUUCAUGCAAGUCGAACGCUUUGUGGUUCAACUGAUUUGAAGAGCUUGCUCAGAUAUGACGAUGGACAUUGCAAAGAGUGGCGAACGGGUGAGUAACACGUGGGAAACCUACCUCUUAGCAGGGGAUAACAUUUGGAAACAGAUGCUAAUACCGUAUAACAAUGACAACCGCAUGGUUGUUAUUUAAAAGAUGGUUCUGCUAUCACUAAGAGAUGGUCCCGCGGUGCAUUAGCUAGUUGGUAAGGUAAUGGCUUACCAAGGCGAUGAUGCAUAGCCGAGUUGAGAGACUGAUCGGCCACAAUGGGACUGAGACACGGCCCAUACUCCUACGGGAGGCAGC